rnacentral:misc_RNA from 1 species
AUGUGGGAAUGAUGUCCCUAGGUAUACUAAAACACCUGCAUUUCUGGACAUUUUUCAUUAUGUUGUUGUCAUCCAUUUCAAUUUGAGUUCAAAGGUAUGUGAAAUGGAGUUUCUGUACAAUGAAAGAAUCUGCAUUGCAAACACUAAAUUUCUUCCUCUUGUGCAACACCAACACCCCUCUUUCUUUUUCUCCUCUUACAACCUUAUACCUUUCUCCUGCCCUUCCAAAUAAAAUUCAGCACAAUUAGAUUGAUACAUUAUGCAAUUUGAAAAUUGUAUUGUUUGAAAUUGUCUCUGUAUUUGUCCAAUGGUGCAAAAAAUUUGGUCUGUUUGAUA